ensembl:lncRNA
ACACAGCCUUGUUUUUCAUUUCAACAUGGCAGCACCUCAUCUGAUGCCACUCACUUUAUAGUCUCGUGUCAGUUACCCUCCAACUGAUUAGCUGCAACCGAACAGCUUUUGCUUGGCUGAUCACAAAUCUCCAGCUAUGCCGACCUUGUGGUAAUAAGGUUAGUAAGCCCUGGUUCAUAGGAUAGUGAGGUUGGAAGAGAGGAAGAGAAAAAAAAUCAAAUCUCCUGCGCAGUCUGUGCAAACCAGACGGCGGCCCAGACCAGACAGUUGUUGUGCUCCAUCCACUUCACAGGCAGCCUGCGUGCCUAUAUCACAUACACACACACACAAACACAAACAGAAAUAUACAGACACACACAGGCAAAAAGACACAGACACACACACACACACACACACACACACACACACACACACACACACACACCACUCAAGAGCUCAGCUCCACCCGCAUUUCUGAACAAGUCUGGGGACACGCUUCCCUGCACCAUCCAGCUGGGCCUACCGGCUCAAACACUGUGUGUGUGCCGCGGCCAGUCUGUCUGUUUGGUGUUCGGCUCCUUCUGCCAGUAUCUGAAAGGAGGCUUUAAGCUGGCACAAACUGGUGGCCCCCCCACGCACAACAUGGACAGCACUCGGCAAGAGCGCUCUACCCACCACACUGCUUAUCUAACGGCUGCCUUCAUCAAAGCACUAAUCUCCCGCUUCUAUGGGAGGCUGCUAACCCGGUGAGCGGCACCACCCCGCAGGCCUUCUGCAGCGUGAGGGGAGGGGAUUAGGGGAGGAUUGGAGGUGUCCUGUUUGCCUCCUGUAACUGGGGGGGGGGGGGGGGGGGGGUACGUCAGGGCGAAUACCUGCACUUUCAGGGAUACAAAAAUGGAAGCUUUGGGACUAAAUCUCACUCUAUAAAAUAAAAAUUUGGUGAGGUGGUUUCUGAUUAUUCUGCUUUUCAAUAAAUGCAAAAAAAGAGAACAAUUUUAUGAACUGUUUGUAACCUUGAACAUUUCUGAAUGCUCAAGACAGAAAAAAAAUUAAAUUGCCAAUUGAUAUUCCCAAGAACUGAAAUAUUCAGUGGCCUGAACUGUUCGCAAUAGUGAUAUCAGAUGACUAAUCACAGUCGCCCACAUCAGACACACAGGCAAUGGAGUCUAAUAAAUCUAUCAGUGUUACUCAGAAGCAGACAUCAGCCUAAUGCUGCAGGUGACAAAUCCUACACUCACUCUCACUCAGAGAGCAGUCACACAGCAUUAAGGUCACUAGGAAUCCCAUCUGCUGCCAGGCGCCAGGCCCCACUCUCCUCGCUCGCUUGCUCAUCCCCCUCCUGUCAACUUCUCAGCUCCCCUAAAUACUUGGCGCCUUUGACAAAAGAAAUUCACGUUAGGCAAAUCUGCAGGCAACAAAACCAGUCCAUCCAUCAAGCAAACACACACAGAGAGAGAGAGCGAGAGGCCUGACACAAAUCGAGCCUUGUAAUUAGGGCAUAGGUCCGUUUAGCCUUGGGGAGAAGACAAAGUCCAGACAAUCUUGCGAAAAGACAUUUCAGUUCGUUAAGAGUACACACGAGCAGAGAUUUGCUUUGAGUUCUGAAGCUGUGGAAACCACAGUCUUGGACAGUGAUGCAGUGAAGUUCCACAUAACAAACAUGCAUCCAUUUGCUACAUCUGUCCAUGUUUGCCAUUAAGGACUGACAGAACUCCAAACAACCAGAACCAGGCCUUCCCUGCGACUCUUACUCCAGAACUUACCCAUGGCAACAGGAAAUCACUACUGCGUGUCUGUACAACACAACCAGAUUUUUACGGCUGACUGACUUGACUGUGUACCAUUAAAGGAGCAGGAGGAUUUAUGGUGAUUUAUUAGCAGAAAAGGGAUAUAGUAUUCAUGAUUAUGUUGUUUUCAUGAUUGUGUGUAACUACAUAUCGUUUUGUUUUCGUUAUCUUAGAAUUAACCCUUCAUAUAGGGAGCAGGUCCUCUUCCCCACAGGCUGCCAUGUUGUGCCGCCAUGUUUCCAGUAGCCCAGGACAGACACACCAAAACACCUACACAUGACAUGCUCUCUCACACACACACACACACACACACACACACACACACACACACCUGAUGGCCAUUGUAGUUUCUCCUACAUGCUUGGAAAGGGAGAUGUAGCCAGUUGGUUGCAAUCUGCAGCCUCGCCACUAGGAUGCCAUUUAAUUCUACAUAUUGUACCUUUAAUUAUAUUGUUGCACAUUAACCACAUGAUGGGUCACCUUUAGGACACAAGUUUACAAGCAACAGCCCAGACGAGACGAGACGAGACGAGAAAUGAGUUAAGUUCCAUUAGGGGCAUUCAGGGUUGCGAAGGGCCUCUUCAGUCAUGCCACAGCACAUAAUUAGCAGCGGUAUGCAUCCACUCGUGAGCAUGAACAAGGGCAGCCAUUGCCAGCAUAGCCCAGAUGCUCAGGAGCACCUAUGUCCCUUUCCUCUCAGUUAGCCUGCAAAACACGGCAAGAACCCUGGCUAUUUAUAGCAGCCUCAAACACACAAGUCUCCCAAAGAGGGGGGAAAAAGCGAAAGUAAAUGUCACCUCUAUUCUAGAGGACACUGUUCUGAGUUCCAGCCACGACAUGGGCACAGAGCAAGGGCUCCCUGAAGAGGUGGGGUUUUAGUCCAUCAGCACUUCUUAAAUCCUCAAUGUUUUGUGCCCAAUAGCCCACAGCCUCAAACAAAACACUCUGCGUUCGACAGAACCAAUACAAUAUUUAUAUGAAUGAACCCACUCUGACCUGAACCUUUUCGCUAUAGAAAUCUUUCCUGUUUACCACACACUAUUAAAACACAAAUGCAAUGAAUAGAGGAAUACAAAUCAACCAUUAAUGAAAUACAGGCUUCACUCAGAGCUUUGCAAUCACCAUCCAUUCUGUGGUGUUGGCUGGGCUGGACUGGACUGGCAGCCAAAUAACCAACUGACAGAUCACUCACGACCACAGAGACACAGAGUUACUGGUAGCAUAAAGAUGGACACAAAACUCUGGUUGUUGAAAAACCCUCUCUCUCUGUUCAUCCUGAUGGCAAAAAUGUAUGCAGGUUAAAUAUCUUUUCUCCCGGUUAGGGAGCAAAAGGGGGGAGGAAGAAAAGGGCAUGAGGGGCAAUAGCUUUUCUUACUGCUGAUCAGAUUAGGAGUAAUAUGAUUGGGGCUAACCGGAUUGCUUGCUGCACAGGCGUAAAGAUGUCUAUUGCUGACCAGUGCUGGGCGGUACCAUAAUAGGAUGUGUGUGUUAAACCCUAUUAAGGUCUGUCCUCCCCUCGUUCCAUUCUCUCACUGCUCAUACAGUGGAGAAUACAUAUGAGAUUAAGAGGACACAGCAGACACAACAGACUAGUGCACACUUCAGAUUGGGGCUUAUUUUUGAUGGAUUCAGUCUAUUGCACUGGUCUGGCUACUCUUAUCAGCACAUGGGUAGAUGGAGUUAAAAGCCAGCUCCUCGAAACCUGGUGAGGGGGAAAAGUGCAAAAGUAUUACACUUUUAAAAGAGAAAUAGGCGCCCAUUUCACUUAAAACCACAUAUGAAUAACAAUAAUUAGAAAGUAACCUAACAUUAUCCAGUGUGUGUCAUAAACAGAGAGACAGUCUUGUUGCUCAAGGGCACAGAGAAAGGGCCUAACGACCAAAUGAGCAGGGGAGGGCUUUUCUUUUCUUCCACUGAGCAUGAUACAUCAAGCUGACAUGAGCUGGGAGAAUAGUGGAGGAGGACCAAGAGGGCUAAUAUUCUCUAUUGGGUUUUUAAAAGGGGGAAAUAUAGGAUUGCCCAUUUGGAAGAUUUAUCACUAGGAGGGCCAAUUAUGUGAGAAGACCCGUUACGGUCGUUGAUCUCCUGCGCCGCGUCAAACCUGAUGUUACAGCUUAAUUGAUGCUUAUAUGUUUGUAGUACACUACAGCUGGAAACCCAGACAACUGUGUUACCCUUGCAGACAUAAAACAUCCCUAUCACUGCAUAAAUGUGUUGCUAUGUGUUGCUAUGUGUUAUGUGUGUGAGGUGGUGGGGGAGGGGGGAUCCUGUACAUGUCUUUUGUUUUCACUGAAGGGCUUCCAUGGCAACAAACACCUUAAUAAAAGAUGGGAAAACUGCUAUAGGUAAACAGCCACAAUUUAGCCACUCUUCACUAGACAGUUCACGAUUGCAAUUUUAAGACACUGCAGAAGAUUUUACAAAUCACCUUUAUUUCUGAAAUGCCUGUACGCUGACAGCAAACAUUUUGUUCUAAAGGUGUGUUUCUCCUUUACACCAAUGCCCCCCAAGUUCACCCAUUACAUUUUCCAGGUUGAGUACGCAUUUCUAUGCUGCUAUAAAAAUAGUCUUUAAUAUCUAAAGUGUGUUCCGUCCAUCACCGACUGUGUAUGCUACAAGCGCUGGCUUGACUGUACUUACUCUUAUAGAUCUAUCAAUAAAUGAUCCUUUCAUAAACAAUUAACAACAACAACUAAAAAUAGUAUGAUGUAGGUCACAAGUUGAAAUCUGAAAGGUGAGAGUCAGCUCCAACAGUCCCUGGCAACAGCCACCUGUGAUAUUGACCUGCCCCUCCAGAGACAUGCUGCCCACUUAACUCCACUGGCACCUGGCAUUUCCAAUGUCCUACAAAUGAUGCCAAAGCUGGCUGGGUUGAGCAGAUGGUUCAGGUGACUGAUACAAUCUAAAAGUAAGCCCAUUAAAAAAAAAAUGCAGGGAAAAUGCAGUCCGGCUGUCAGCAUAGACUUAAUGUUGGGUUGGCAACAUCCUAUGUAGUUUUUCUAAAAGACACAGAUACUUUAUUAAAUACCAGAUACCAUACAUUCUUACAGCCGUCAGGAAGAAAGACCACUCCCAUAUUUCUGUUCUCACAUCCAAAUACAACCUUACGGGAUUAACAUGCCUUGUUAUUAUUAUAGGCUUACGGCAAUGGCUGAGUAAACUUGCAACAAGCCCGGGUCCAUCACCAGAGAGACAGGAAGCGAAAAAAAAAAAAUCAGCCAACCGAGAGAAAUGUUCAAAAAAAAAUGACGGUUCUGUAUUCUCACUGAAAGCAGCACAGCCAAACACUGUUGUGGUGACACGGCACCCAUGCAACCAACUGUGAUACAACGCCCACUGCUGAGUCUUUCCGGAACAAUGGUCUGUCGUGGUCUAAACAGGAACUAUCCGUGGAAAACAACGGAAUCUUAUUAACCACACACUUAACCUUGAACAAUGGUUCCAUCCCUCCUUCUGAGUGGGCAGAGAAGAAUGCCAUUUCAAAUCCAUCAGUAACGAGUUUUGGAGGUCUGUCCAAGACAUGAUUACUGUAGCAUCAAAAAAAGAGUAAUACCAGAUACCAGAUAAUGGGAAUAGCUGCCAAACCCACACAAAAACAUAUAGGCCUAGGUUUACAUUCUUAUUGUGUCCAAGUGGUUAACUCAAUAUAGGAGGCUUGUAACCCCUUAUUGAAACACUAAAUGAAGCCAGGGCAAGACUGACUUGUGGGUAAUCAAUAGAUUAAAGGACUGUAUUGAUGAUCUGAGGAGCUGAAGAGUGAUUGUUCAGAACUGUGGAGGUACAAUCAGAUACUUGGGGACACCAGAGAGCAUGCUGCAACAUGUAAAAUGGCCUUGGAUCAGCAAUACUCUUCUCAUUUUGACCAGAGACAUUACAAAGGAGGAGAAAUCACUGACAGGGAAAUGAAUGGGGAGUCCAUCCAGAGUCCGUCAGGCUAAAUAUGGAUACGGAUGUGUGACCGGAAAUGCUGCCCUGUAUUAUAAAGAGCCAAUCACUGUCUUUUUAGCCUUGUUUGGGAAAGCAAUUGUUCAAACUGUUUGUGUCAGAUAUAAAAGCUGAUUCACAUGAUGUACUUUUAAUGUCUGUCAGACCAUUCUAUAUGGAGUUACGGAUCAUUUAAGUCUGAUCUUAUUUGCCUGAAAUAGCUGCCUGGGGGGGGGGGUUACUAAAACGACGGCCAGGUGGCGAGACUUGCCUCUUACCCAAAGGGGACCGUGCUAAGGUCAGCUCUUUAUGAAAUGACAGUAUUUCUUAUGGAUGGAUCUCAUAUCAGUAAUAACCUGUCCAACUCUCCUACUCCACAUUGACAUCUCUACCGCAUUAUACUGUACUGUAGCUGAUGCUACUGCAGUCCUUGGCAAUCAAUGACCCAGCACCAGACUUUGGAUGGCUAGUGAGAAGUGAGUUAAUUCAUGAUGUAAACAGCCAUCCUUCAUUGCCAUAGCAGGAACAGAGGACUCCACCCAGCACUGGAUCACCAUUCAUUUCAGCUCCAUCACCCGGAACAAUCCCAGCCUUCAUGAAGAAUUACCCAACUCUCAGCAGAUGAUGGCUAAAUCAAUUUGCCAUAUAUAUGGUUUAAUAUAUGAUUCAAAUCAUUUGAAAAUCUUGUGUAAGAAAUGUGACUGGCAUUUGAAGAUUUAUUUACAACUUAAUGUGUAUUUCUAGCAUUGUCCUACAAAAUAUCAAGAGUUAUGAUAUGCAUGUAUCUGACAAGUUGGCCCAUUACAAAUAAUAAUAAUAAUAAAAAAAAAAACAGUCCAAUCAGAUGAUGUUUGAGUGUUCAGUGUUGCCCCACACUGGCAUGGGCAGUGAGUGAGCAGGUCACAUGGGAGUAGCAGUGGUACUUAAAAAAUGCCCCUUUUACAUCAGCGCUGCGUUGCGAUCCAUGUGGAAAUGAGUGAGACACAGUAGAGAGGGGAAAUAACUGACUGAACUAAAACAAGUCAUUUAGGGCAUGGGCCAUUUCCACACAAAAUCAGAAACUGAGUGAGACAGAGCAGAACAAGACAUACACACACACGUGGCAACUGUGUGUGGAACUACACGUGCAGGGAAGCACAGAGCGAGGGGAAAGAAAUGAGAAGGCUUGGAGAGAGAGCGAGAGAGAUGUUAGGUUCCAUUUUUCUAUUUUACAGUUGCCUUGAGGCUAUAAAAGGUGUGGGUAGCGCAGUGAUGAAAGUGGUAAAGCGGGAAAUGUUAACAAUGUGCUGGUGGUCUUUAGAGUGCGCUUUCAUUGAUUCAAAAUGAAAUCUAGUCACCAGAGAAUCAUGUCUAUCCUUGCCAUUUGUACCACACAUGACCACACAAAUGAACCCCAACAGAUAGAUAAUACAUUGGCAGCACAUCAGGCAACAUCAAUUCAGUCCAGCUUCCCUCGCGUUCACAACAGUCAACCCACCCAUCCUCUUGCCAUCACACUUAAAGGAUUUACAGAGAAAAUCUUGUCCAGAAAACACCCCAUGUAAAUGUUAAGUACCGCUAAAUGAUAAAGUGUUUUCGACUAGUCUGCUCUAUAAAAUGUACUCACAGCAUCUAGGUCUUUCAUUGAUUUUUUCUAGCACCAAUUUCUUUUCAAGGACACCCAAGUAUUUUUUCCUGUCUGAAAUAUUGGUAGGGUGUUUUCUCCAGACACACUAACUACUAAAUCUAAAAAAGCAGUUUAGAAUGUUAAACAGGCUUAAAAACAUGUAAAUAUGAGCAACAUACAAUCAAGAUGUAGUUCAUUCUGCAAGCAUAAUUUUCCUCCCCUUCAAUAAAUCCAUGAUGUUUAGGGGUCGAGUUCAUGAGAAAUGAGGUCAAACCAACUGGAGUUCUUAAUGCCAGUGACUGUCUGUAAUAUCAGUGCCUACUCCUGCCGUACUCCUGGGGGAACUCUGCUAAGAGGGAAGAAUGUGGUGGGCUAGAAUGACAUGCAGCUAUUCCAAAAUGUUUUCACGUGAGCGAUAGUACAAUGGCCAAAGUUUUUUUUGCCAGACAAGACUAGUUCCUCCCCCCCGACCCAAAACAACCUCCUCCCCAUUUUUGUGACAUGGAUGCACCACGGAUAGAUGCAGUGACACUGUUGUGUGUGUCUCAGCUGAGGGAUCCAGAAUUGAUGUCGGUCAUAGCAAUUGUACGGUCUUAGAUGAAGCGGUGUGUCACGUGUUUCCAUUGGACCAGAUGAUCAAAUAUCAGUGAUGCAGCUGUGAAACAGUUUGCCAGAUGAUCUCAUCAAAUUCAUGUAGAGGAACAUCGCAUAAUGUUAACCCCGACACUGGUAGGUACUAACGCUCGUCUCCUGAACUGAAUGACUGGGAGUGAUUGAUUGGGAUUGGGAUAAUGUGGUGGUGGAAGAGGGAAAAUACUGGGGAAGUCAGCUUUCUUGUCCUCGGGUGAGGAAUGGGUUUGUGUAUUCCAACUAGACUGGCUUUUCACAACUUUCGGCAUGACCAGAAGUCAUUUUGAAGACAGAACAGGAACUCAGCAAAUCAUAUACAGUAAUUGAGCUGAAAAGUGCAUACAAAUCUGAGGCAGAAAGAAUAGGGGUGGGGGGAGGAGAGAGAGAGAGAGAGAGAGGGACCUACAUGUUUGAGGAUAUGGGUAGAACACAGGAGACGUGGUACAAAAAGCUCCCUUCUCACUUCCUGUAUUUUCGAGUGUGUAGGUGAUUUCAGCUAAGCAAGUGUGCCAGAUCCUCUUGGACCAAUCAAUUAAAAUCAUGGCCUAGUUGAAAAUAAACAGCAGAGGCUGGGAAAAAUGGUUGCCUCCCCACUGAGUCAGCCAAAAUGACGUAUUUUCUGUCUUCUUCAAGCAGUGUAUGGAAAGAGGAGGUCAACUGCUGCCUGUAGGCAUUUCUCUCAUUCUCUCUCAGUAAAGCCACACACACAAAAUCACACCUUCCACACUUGCUGCCUUGCAUACCUGCAGAACAAACUAGGGCAGUGAGGACAGAAUCGAUCAAUCAGAACAAAUACGGGACAAGACACUUGUGUCAGAGCCAAGGGGCUAGACAAUAUGCGCCACACACACACACACACACACACACACACACACACACACACACACACACACACACACACACACACACACACACACACACACACACACACACACACACACACACACACACACAGACAGACACACACAGACACACACAGACAGACACACACACAAUCUAUCAAGAGGGUUAGUGAUCUCAAGAAUGCUGAUGACCUGCUCAGACUGCUGUUUUUUCCAGCCCUGCUGCUGCUACAAACCCUCAAACCACCACUUGCCAACUGUCAUCGUGCCGUCUGUCCGACAGUGAUGUCUUUGUGAAAAGCCUGUUAAAUUCAACUUCAGUAAUUGUCUGUCAAAAGCUGUUUGGCUGUAGUUUCAAAGGGCACUCAAGAGCAUUCUCAGACACAUAUUGUCACUAUUGUCUAUGUCCGUCCAUGACAGCAUAUUCAGAAUUUUAUUUCUGCAAAGAGCCUGGCUCUGCUCGCCUAUUGGUCCCAGCACAGUUUCUGCCAUGAUUAUAGUCCGGGAACUGAUGUUCGCAAGAUGAAACGAUGGGCUAUUCAGAGGAGCCCACCAAUCAGCGACCAGUGGGGGUGGCUAAGUGCAAAGACGCUGAAAUGAAGCGUUUGCUUGAAACGUAGUUACAACAAUUGUGGCAACACUAAAGCUCGGCGAAGCGAUACAAACAGUAGUAGCAAAGCUAGCAAACAUCUAAGAAUGUGUAAACGUAUUCGUCGAGGGCAAAGACAUUGUUGCCUUACUGCCAGUGGGGUUUGGGAAAAGGCUAAUAUAUCAACUUGCUUGCACUGUUAAUGUAAAAGUAGAAAGUAUAGCAAUUAGAUGGUGGUCAAUGCCAAUUGGUUAAUGGUUGGAACGAUGGUUUCAAAAGUAACCCAGAGUCUACGGCCAUUAGGAUGCAAUGACUAGAAACAACGCCCAAUGGAGCAAGGCCAGACCCUAUUCAGGAAGUGAAUUUGGUCUGGUAACGCCAGGCUAUGAGCCUACAACUAAAUUAACAAAAAAAAUCUCUAAUACUAGGAAGAAGGAACUCACACACACACUAUGGAGUUAAAUCAAAACAGCCACACUCAAAUGAAGUUGGCAAAUCCACAUGCAAGUCUGGCAAUGUGCAGAUUCCCUUGACCAAGAGGGCAUCACCCUUUCAAAAAGGCUCAAUAAUGUUUAAUCUGAUCUGCCAACCUUUUAGACGGUUAUGCCGUUGAAAAACAACUAAUGGCACCAAUUCCAACAUUACAUGCACAUUUAAUCCAAUCCAUCUAGACUCCUCCAUCUAUAAUCUGCACUUUGUUUUGUAUAUGAAAAGUAUUAGGCAUACCCAGUAUUUAUGUAUGUAAUAUGUAGAUUUAAUCCAUGAAACUCUGUGGAUUAGAUUUGACUGACAUGUGUAGUUAUCUUGGGGAAUGCAUUCAACUCAGUCAUCCCCCUCUUCUCCAUUACGUUUGGUCAUAGUCAGUCCACGCAAGCCAGCCCAAUGGCCAGAGCGGACCGGAGGGUCCCGUCACCCAGUCCUCCGUGGCGUGGCAGGGCAGCUGCAGCCUCGUCUCUGUUCUGCGGUGCGUGCAUGCGUUUGGGGAUUAAGAGGGAUGAGCUGAGAGUGGGGAAAGGUGGACAGGGAGUGGAAACAGCCAUCCCCCUGACAGUCAGUCCGUCCAUCCCUCUGGUGUCAGCCCAUGAUGUCUGGUGCUUUGCAACACUCGCAAGGCUGCCUCUCCUCCCGCCGUUUUCACACCAGAAUUCACACCCUCCACCGCACCCUAAGACAAACAGGCUAUCUGGCUUGUCCUCACAGAAGGACCCUUUUAUGUUUCUGCUUCAAUCCCUAUAAGGUGCCAUCUAUAGCAACACGUCAGCGAACAGGCGGCCCAAUUCUACUUGGCAGCAUUAACAGUGCUAAGACGACACUUUAACAGCUCAAAUAAUAUUUAUGGAUUCCCCAUAGGACAAACUCAAUCUCAAAGCUCUUGACCCCAACCAGCUAGUGCAUGAUCGAAUACAAUAGUCUACCGUUACCAAAGUGGCAUGUAUAUUAUGUCAUACAGACUGCAAAAAAAAAAAAGGCAGCAGACAAAUCCCAAGCAUUAGUGAUACUGGUGGUUCAGAACAAGCGAUGAGCCAGUGAGUAUAAAGCAGAGGUGAUCUGACAAAUACACAAAUAACGCCCAAUAAAUAGACCCUGUUGAUACGCUGUUUUUGGUACGACUUGUCAGUUCCGCCUACGGCUUGUAUGAUCUCACUGUGAACACACAUGACAGACAGUUUCAUCAAAUCAUCUGAUUACACAGGAGAUGAGCUCACGUCUUCUGAAUGCACUGUAAUACUGAACACAAAAGAGACACACUGAGAUGUGGAUGCUUAGUGACUGUAACCAGUGACGAGUCAUAUUGAUGGGAAGCACGUUAUUUCACGGGUCUUCAAAAACAGACAAAGCCUUUGGAGUGUUGCAUAAACCCAGAGAUAUUUCUAGAACAUCCUUGUGGGUGUGAUGACAACCAAAGAGGUUGAAGUUGUGUCACCACCCUCACAAUAGUUAUAAAGCUAAAAAGAACAGCAAAGAUUAAGGAGAUACUGAGGAUGAAAAAGACCCAAGAGGGGGACAAAUACGGCAAAAGAAAUCCAACAAAGAAAGAAAAGGAGGAAGAUGAAAAUGACGAAGAUGAAGAGCAAUUAAAACUGUAGAUAGAUCCACCUUCUGAGCAUAGGUCGUUGUUAAGAAAAUAAAAGUAGCCCCUGGUAUUAAUCAUGGCUGGAUGCUGCCCAUGCACCUGUCAGCCCUAGUGAACGGUGUAAGGCAAACACAAUCAACUCUAUCCCCACCCCUCCGCCAUUAGUAUUCACAGGCAUGUGCUCAUCCCUCUCCAUCCCAGCUGUCUGCAGCCAUUUACAUUUAAACAUCUAUUAAAACAAUGUGGCUGCAUUGCUUGGAGCACAAAACAGCUCGUUAUGAUCUCAGCGUUAGAUACCGCAGGCUGUGCACUGCAAUGGGUCUUCUACAUCAGUAAUGGGAGACGCUUGGGCCGAGGGAACUCCAGGCUGUGAGGGGGUAGUGUGUGUGCAGCGAGGCAGCGGGAUCAUUUGCUAUGUGCUCCAGGUGCUGCGCUGGCAAGGGGGAGAUACACCUACCGCUGCACACAGUCCAUACAAUUAGUGUGUUUGUAGUGUGGUAUACAUUCACCUUUGAGACUUCAUGUAAGGCAUUUCAAUGCAUAGCUGAGCAUGCCAGACGCAGCCAAUACACAUACGAUUCUUCUGCAUCAUUUGGCUCAGCUGCAAGGUUUAAUGAGUUAUACCGUCGGCUGUUUGAGGACUGGGGUCUCUGAAAGUCGCCAAAAGUCUAUUGAAACUCUGCAAAUACUAAUAAAACAGCGGAGGUCCAUGGGGUUGGGGAUUCUUCCUGGUAAAGUGAAGUUACGCCCUGCUGUAAGCAACUCCCUCCUAAGCUGGCAAACCAGCUCUGGGAGAUGGCUUUUCUCUCUGCAAUAAAUAAUUGAAUUCUGCCGACUGCCUUCAAUUAUUCAUGUAAGUUUAUAAUUCAUCUUCAGCCACAAUUUCUUCCUGUAAGGUGAAAAGAAAGAAGGAAGGGAAGGAAGGCGAGAGAGGGGGAGGGGGACGGAGUGAGGGAAAGAGAGAGCGAGGGAGAGAGAGAGGGAGGGAGAAAAAGAGAGAGAGAGACAGGGGUGGCAAGAGCUGAAGAUGCACAAGCUGCACAAGCUCUCCUGCCUGUUACCAAAUCACAUGCGCAGCAUUAGCAGCCCGCUCCCACAGCAUGCGUCCAUGCAAGCUGCAGUGCAUUAACCCCAAAGCUCCUCCAAGGUUCUACUCAAUGUAGCCAUUUCACUAAAUCACCAUGUCGACAGCUGAAUCAAGUAACAUUUUAGAGUUCCCUCUGGUCCAUGGAGUGUCCCCCACAGUGGUCUUGGGGAGAUGGGGGUGGGGGGGUCAAAUUCCUCAAGAGGCAGGGUCUUUUCAUACAGUUUAGAAUACAUUUAAAAAGACACUGAAUUUCACUGAGUGUAGAGUCAUUCACCUAUGUGUGUGCAAAGAGGGUCUCUGUCCUCCCUCUAUAAAGACUUUUACUCUACUGUUCACUUCCAAUCCAGCUGAUAUUUUAAUCAGCUAGGAGGUGGGGGGGAGUAUAUUCCUAAAAUAGUAGAUUCACCAGCCAAAAAACCCUUGGGGGUGCUAGACUGUACCAUUUAACUGAGUUUGACUUUUACAGUGCGAGCCAUCUUACCUGGCUUGAUUUGCCCUAUACGGUAUGAAUGCGUAAGUAAAGAGAUGUGUCUAGUAUCAUGGAGCCAAAAACAUGUGUGACAGCACUUUUCUAUUCAAAUCAAUUCAACUCCAAAAGGCAUUGGGUUAGUUAACAAAUCUCAGUUAAACUAACAAUUUCCAUCCACCUUUCCCCAUGGUUACACCAGGAUGUAGCCUAAACUGUAAUAUGAUAUAUAAUCUUGGCCCCACAAGACUGAUGGAACGGUCUGGUGUGUGUGUGUGUGUACCAGAUAUUUGUGAAUAGUGUGAAUCUGUGCGUUUGCCAUGACGUACCCGCUUUCCUUAGUGACUGCAUACACCAGUGUUUCCCCUGGGACUGACGUGGAGUCUGCCAGAAAAUAGGACGAUACAGCAGGAGCACUCCUGUAUAAAAAAGAAUUUAAAAGAAUUUUAGUAAACAUGUAGAAACCUAAAUAAUGGCAAUAUAUACAGCUAUACUACACUUACUAAAAAACUCUGUUGCCGUCAACACAAACAUUAUGGCCUCUCAUGUUCAAGGUCAAUACAGAGACUCCCACAUGUGUCAACAAACACUGAUAGACAACCUACAAGAUUUUUUUUUCUCUCCGAUUUUCAGUCACCGCUGUAAUUAAAUAGUCUCGUAAUGUGUCUUAAGGUUGUGCCUCUUUCCACCAAAAUGUCCUUGCUGAAAAGCAUUUGGAAUGAUGGAAUGCAAUCAUGCUGCUGUGACAUCACCUGCUGCCACCACCAACAAUUUCACAGCACCCGUCAGUGGCUUUGACUGGCAGCUGAGCUAGUUAUUGCAGCUGUUGAAGAGAUACGAGCCCUGUAUAUUUGGCUGGCAUGUGUAAUUUUAAGAGCAUUGAAACACGGCUGAGUUAAGGGGAAAUAGGGCAGCCCCGCAAUAAUAAAAAGACACUCUUCUCUAGAAGCAGAUUGAACAGCUGAAACAACCCGCAGGAGCCAGGUCUGUUUCUGCACAAAAGGCUAAAAGGUGUGAGACCGGCGCAGCUGCCUCGUUUAAGCCCGCUUCCAACAGUGCACGGUGACGUUGCUGAAAUGUGGCGUGAUGUCAAUUAGCAAUUAGCCAGAGGAAGUAUAGCCUAAUGAAUGUAGUAUCACACACAAACAUUUUAAAGACAGAGAAUGCAGCUAGAUAAAGAGAAAUUCACAUUCAUCAUAUAAAGUAUGCCAUUUAAGGAUGUAAAUGAAAAGAAAAGUACAAUUGUGUGCCGUCGCAAGGUUUAGAAAUCCCAGUGAGUAAGUCUUAUGGACCGUUCUGAAUUCUCAAAAUAAUUUGGUUCUUAUUACUGUUGGUUAUGAGGGAAUAUCUUGAGGUUGAUGACUGGCAACUCCAUCAGAUUCCUUUGAAAUACUUGGGCAGGAAAAAAAAAUCCUUUGAAAAUGCUGAACACUUCCUUUCCAUGCAGACAAAACCAAGGUUUAAUUUCCUCUUGGGGUGAGAUAAAUCAAGGACACGACAAACAUUAUCAAAGCUUAAAUCUCAUCCCAUCUUAUGGACUUCUGUAUUUAUUAGGGAGACAGACAUUAAUAACCAGAAAAACUAAAAUAAAAAAAUAAAAAAGCUUUGAAAAACAGUCGAGUCGAGGCGGGGAUAUCCAACUUCUCAACUGCAGACAGCGGUUUAUAGGCAUGUAUGGCAAGGCAUUUAGCAUUGGAGACGGAAUGUCUAUAAUUCAGCCAUAACUCUAUUUCUUCCCCUUUCCCCUCCAUCUCCAUCUCUCUGUAAGCGAACAGGGAGCUGCACAGAAGCUCUGUGAAUGCACACAAACAUGAUAUGGCUUUGUGAUAUAGAUGGCAAUCCCAGACAUGCUGUGGGCGUACUUGGGCUCAAAGCAACAGAGCUACACUGGGAAAUGAAGACUUUGAGGAAAAUGUCUGAUCUAUCGACUGUGAUACAUACCUCACAAUAGUGAGAGGUUUAUAUUUAAAAUAAAGUAUUUUAUUUGAAUAACCCCAUCACCUUGCAGUUUUACCUCUUGAAUAAGAUGUAAAUCAGAAAUCUAGUCCCAUAGGCCUUAUGAUACACGAAACAGGAAAACAGAAAAAGGCAAGCAAAACUGCAAAAUGUCAUCAACAAAAUCCACCCAAGGCUAUUAUUUCACACAUCAUUAACAAUGCUUGAUAUUUGCCAAAGUAUGUUGGUGGGACCCUGGAAGGAAUAACAUUCACAUGGAUAAAGCUCCCCUCCUUUGACUAAGAAGACACAUAUUUUGGAGCAAUGAAGGAUCCAUAUUGUUGGUCAAACUAUCAUAUUUCUUCAGCUCAGCCCCUUUCAAAAAAACAAAAAAAAAAAACUCCUCAAACUAGUAAGAAACAAAAACCUAUGCUCGAUUAAAACUGCAUCUCCCACAGUAUUUUCUGCAAUGACAUCAAGCCAGGUCUUAUGAUUUUUCUGUCUUUCCCUCCCAUAGGUUCAGGAGGGAUUCUGCUCCCAGCUGCUUGGUAGGAUCAGCAGCUGUACAGGCAACCAGUGGCCGGGGGGAACCGGGGAACCAGGGAGCCUUUCCCCACUGGAGCUCCGCCAGCGUGAUCCAUUUCCAGGCGUGUUGGCCCGGUGCGGUCCGCAGCGCUGCAACACACAACGCCACAGUGCUCCAGCUCUCCAUCUCCUGAGGUCACUCGUGCUCGUGGCCCCUCGUCUGACAUCAUCACACUGCUUGUGCAGGUGGUCAAGGGUGGCGGGGACACAUCAAGUCUCCAGUCAGACUGCAGAUUGUGCUUUACAGCCACAGAUAUAACAGGGAACAAGGAGCUGUGCAUAUUAGACACGCCUCACAGCAUACAGUUUAAUGCUUUACAGUUUUUAAAGCCAGAGAUGCAAAGCCUCAGAUUUUAACGAGCAUAUGCAGCAGUGAACCUUAUGUAACGCUGCAGAGAAAAGGCUGGUUAAGGGCAGACAAUAAGAGCUCAGUUCCCUAGUGAUCUUAAAAAGAGCCGUGUCACUUUGUUUCUCAAAAGGUGUUAAAUGCAAAAAAAAUAUCUGUCAUGAUCGUCCAUAAUAAACAUUUGAACAAUACUGAGCAACACUUGAACCACACUGUGCGACUGACACCAAUCUACUUCUAAAGUUUCAAAUGCAAUUCCAGUUCAUUUUAGUCUUUCAUUCCAAGUGCUUCUACAUUUCCAAUCCAAUCUUGAUUUAUGCAAGCUUUUUAGAGCAGAAAGAGAUAACACAUCCCCUGCACAAGCGUGACCCCACCAGACCCAGAUAUAUGACACUCCCUUGAGGUGCUGAAUGUGAACUUAAUCUUGCCUACUUAACAUGGGCUGCUCUUACGAGAAAGACCUUGGAAAGAGCGAGCAUUGGACAUUACUUUCAACCUUCAGUAACACCAAUAGGGAAUGUGGCCACAACUAGAAAUGAACUGGUGACAAAUCCUGACGUGUAAAACAGAGCUUAGAGGAGAAUAAUAAUGCUCUUUUCAUCAUAAUGGAAGCUGGGACGAUAACCUUAGCUAUGGAAUGGCUGAUUCUGAUUCAGUUGUUUGGAGAGCGCCCCCAUUCUUCAGCGUCCCCUCUGAGCUCAAAAGCGAAUGAAAAGAUCGCUAUUAAAUCUCUCCAGAGCAUCUUGGGGAGCUUACCAGACGUGCGUGCAUUGAUAAAUAGCAGAGAUGUAUGUUCACAAAUUCAUUAUUUAUUUGGGAGCACAAACGCGUUCACAGCUCAUCACCGCCUGCGCACGCUGAAGUGUUAACCAAUCUCUAUGCAUGGCCUCGAGUCGGAAGGAAUAAUAUUCUUGAUACCAAAAGAGGAGGAUAAGCACUCGGUCUCUAACGAUAAGACCGCUCUUCAGAGCAAACUCCAGAGCCUCAACAGGGUUGUGGUCAUUCAUCUUACCCAGAGUGCUUCAAUGGGGGUUAUUAAAAGUUAACUCGACUGUGGCAACACAGUCUAAUCCCUGUACCUUCAUCUUUGUGUGUCAGCUCCAAGACAUUGGUUCACUUCUUGUCUGGGGAGCGAGACCACAUUGCUAUAUCAGACACCAGGGGUACAAUGAACACAAUGAUGGGAUGGUUUAUGAAAUGGAUACAGUGUCACUGAACAACCGUGAAGGGAAAACCUUGGUGGUGUCGGCUUGAAUAGGAUGAAACAAAAUACUUUUGUGUUAGUCAGCCUGGGCGGUACCUGAUACACCAUGAACACAUUAAAAGAGGGAUAAAUACGAACGGUUUAUAAAAUAUGAACAGAAAACCCGAGAACGUCUCCUUACUAAUCUGGUAGAAGAAACACUACCAUGUACUGGCUAGGGUC